GCAACGGUGACUAUGACUGCGACGGCGACGGCGACAAGGACGGCGACGGCGGCAGGGACGGCGACCGAUUGAGGGACCGGUUGUUCCGCCACGCCCUUUUCUCUUCUUCUUCUCCUUCUUCGUCGGCAGCGGCGCGCCGGCGACUCGUGGAGCUGUGUGCUGUGCUGGGUCGAGCAACGGCGCUUCGGAGACUGACCCUUUUUGUCCUCACGACGCCACUCUACUACGUCAAUGCCCCUCCUCAGAUGGGCACUGGGCAGCGCCUACACCAUUGCUGCUAAUGCCAUCGCUCGCUUUCAGUGUCAUUGAAGCUCUCAAGGUGGAUAGUUUGCAGAAACUUUGCUCAUCAUUAGAGCCCAUACUUCGGCGUGUGGUUAGUGAAGAAGUGGAGCGAGCUUUAGCAAAACCGGGCCCCUUCAAAAUUACCGGGAG